rnacentral:rRNA from 3 species
GGGUUGUGAGGUUAAGCGACUAAGCGUACACGGUGGAUGCCCUGGCAGUCAGAGGCGAUGAAGGACGUGCUAAUCUGCGAAAAGCGUCGGUAAGGUGAUAUGAACCGUUAUAACCGGCGAUGUCCGAAUGGGGAAACCCAGUGCAAUUCGUUGCACUAUCGUUAACUGAAUACAUAGGUUAACGAGGCGAACCGGGGGAACUGAAACAUCUAAGUACCCCGAGGAAAAGAAAUCAACCGAGAUUCCCCCAGUAGCGGCGAGCGAACGGGGAGCAGCCCAGAGUCUGAAUCAGCUUGUGUGUUAGUGGAACGGUCUGGAAAGUCCGACGGUACAGGGUGAUAGUCCCGUACACCAAAAUGCACAGGUUGUGAACUCGAAGAGUAGGGCGGGACACGUGGUAUCCUGUCUGAAUAUGGGGGGACCAUCCUCCAAGGCUAAAUACUCCUGACUGACCGAUAGUGAACCAGUACCGUGAGGGAAAGGCGAAAAGAACCCCGGCGAGGGGAGUGAAAAAGAACCUGAAACCGUGUACGUACAAGCAGUGGGAGCACCUUCGGGUGUGACUGCGUACCUUUUGUAUAAUGGGUCAGCGACUUAUAUUCUGUAGCAAGGUUAACCGUAUAGGGGAGCCGCAGGGAAACCGAGUCUUAACUGGGCGUUAAGUUGCAGGGUAUAGACCCGAAACCCGGUGAUCUAGCCAUGGGCAGGUUGAAGGUUGGGUAACACUAACUGGAGGACCGAACCGACUAAUGUUGAAAAAUUAGCGGAUGACUUGUGGCUGGGGGUGAAAGGCCAAUCAAACCGGGAGAUAGCUGGUUCUCCCCGAAAGCUAUUUAGGUAGCGCCUCGUGAA